AACGAACGCUGGCGGCAGGCUUAACACAUGCAAGUCGAACGCCCCGCAAGGGGAGUGGCAGACGGGUGAGUAACACGUGGGAACGUGCCCUAAGGUUCGGAAUAUUCCCGGGAAACUGGGAGCAAUACCGAAUGUGUCCGAGAGGAGAAAGAUUUAUCGCCUUAGGAUCGGCCCGCGUCGGAUUAGCUAGUUGGUGGGGUAAUGGCCUACCAAGGCGACGAUCCGUAGCUGGUCUGAGAGGACGACCAGCCACACUGGGACUGAGACACGGCCCAGACUCCUACGGGAGGCAGCAGUGGGGAAUCUUGGACAAUGGGCGCAAGCCUGAUCCAGCCAUGCCGCGUGGAUGAUGAAGGCCUUAGGGUUGUAAAAUCCUUUCGCCGAGGACGAUAAUGACGGUACUAGGAGAAGAAGCUCCGGCUAACUUCGUGCCAGCAGCCGCGGUAACAC
rnacentral:rRNA from 1 species